rnacentral:rRNA from 1 species
CAGAUUGAACGCUGGCGGCAGGCCUAACACAUGCAAGUCGAGCGGAAACGACACUAACAAUCCUUCGGGUGCGUUAAUGGGCGUCGAGCGGCGGACGGGUGAGUAAUGCCUAGGAAAUUGCCUUGAUGUGGGGGAUAACCAUUGGAAACGAUGGCUAAUACCGCAUAAUGCCUACGGGCCAAAGAGGGGGACCUUCGGGCCUCUCGCGUCAAGAUAUGCCUAGGUGGGAUUAGCUAGUUGGUGAGGUAAUGGCUCACCAAGGCGACGAUCCCUAGCUGGUCUGAGAGGAUGAUCAGCCACACUGGAACUGAGACACGGUCCAGACUCCUACGGGAGGCAGCAGUGGGGAAUAUUGCACAAUGGGCGAAAGCCUGAUGCAGCCAUGCCGCGUGUAUGAAGAAGGCCUUCGGGUUGUAAAGUACUUUCAGUUGUGAGGAAGGGGGUAGUGUUAAUAGCGCUAUCUCUUGACGUUAGCAACAGAAGAAGCACCGGCUAACUCCGUGCCAGCAGCCGCGGUAAUACGGAGGGUGCGAGCGUUAAUCGGAAUUACUGGGCGUAAAGCGCAUGCAGGUGGUUCAUUAAGUCAGAUGUGAAAGCCCGGGGCUCAACCUCGGAACUGCAUUUGAAACUGGUGAACUAGAGUACUGUAGAGGGGGGUAGAAUUUCAGGUGUAGCGGUGAAAUGCGUAGAGAUCUGAAGGAAUACCAGUGGCGAAGGCGGCCCCCUGGACAGAUACUGACACUCAGAUGCGAAAGCGUGGGGAGCAAACAGGAUUAGAUACCCUGGUAGUCCACGCCGUAAACGAUGUCUACUUGGAGGUUGUGGCCUUGAGCCGUGGCUUUCGGAGCUAACGCGUUAAGUAGACCGCCUGGGGAGUACGGUCGCAAGAUUAAAACUCAAAUGAAUUGACGGGGGCCCGCACAAGCGGUGGAGCAUGUGGUUUAAUUCGAUGCAACGCGAAGAACCUUACCUACUCUUGACAUCCAGAGAAGCCAGCGGAGACGCAGGUGUGCCUUCGGGAGCUCUGAGACAGGUGCUGCAUGGCUGUCGUCAGCUCGUGUUGUGAAAUGUUGGGUUAAGUCCCGCAACGAGCGCAACCCUUAUCCUUGUUUGCCAGCGAGUAAUGUCGGGAACUCCAGGGAGACUGCCGGUGAUAAACCGGAGGAAGGUGGGGACGACGUCNAGUCAUCAUGGCCCUUACGAGUAGGGCUACACACGUGCUACAAUGGCGCAUACAGAGGGCAGCAAGCUAGCGAUAGUGAGCGAAUCCCAAAAGUGCGUCGUAGUC